rnacentral:rRNA from 1 species
ACGGAAGGCAGCAGUGGGGAAUAUUGCACAAUGGGGGAAACCCUGAUGCAGCGACGCCGCGUGAGCGAUGAAGGCCUUCGGGUUGUAAAGCUCUGAUCUGGGGGAAGAAACAAAUGACGGUACCCCAGGAGAAAGCCCCGGCUAACUACGUGCCAGCAGCCGCGGUAAUACGUAGGGGGCAAGCGUUAUCCGGAAUUAUUGGGCGUAAAGAGUGCGUAGGUGGUUACCUAAGCGCAAGGUUUAAUCUUGAGGCUUAACCUCAUUCUGCCUUGCGAACUGGGCUACUUGAGUGCAGGAGGGGAAAGCGGAACUCCUAGUGUAGCGGUGAAAUGCGUAGAUAUUAGGAAGAACACCGGUGGCGAAGGCGGCUUUCUGGACUGUAACUGACACUGAGGCACGAAAGCGUGGGGAGCAAACAGGAUUAGAUACCCUGGUA